GAUGAACGCUGGCGGCGUGCCUAAUACAUGCAAGUCGAGCGAACAGACGAGGAGCUUGCUCCUUUGACGUUAGCGGCGGACGGGUGCGUAACACGUGGGUAACCUACCUAUAAGACUGGGAUAACUUCGGGAAACCGGAGCUAAUACCGGAUAAUAUUUCGAACCGCAUGGUACGAUAGUGAUAGAUGGCUCUGCUAUCCCUUAUCGCUGGACCGGCGCCGGAUUAGCUAGUUGGUAAGGUAACGGCUUACCAAGGCAACGAUACGUAGCCGACCUGAGAGGGUGAACGGCCACACUGGAACUGAGACACGGUCCAGACUCCUACGGGAGGCAGCAGUAGGGAAUCUUCCGCAAUGGGCGAAAGCCUGACGGAGCAACGCCGCGUGAGUGAUGAAGGUCUUCGGAUCGUAAAACUCUGUUAUUAGGGAAGAACAAACGUGUAAGUAACUGUGCACGUCUUGACGGUACCUAAUCAGAAAGCCACGGCUAACUACGUGCCAGCCGCCGCGGUAA
rnacentral:rRNA from 1 species